UACGGGAGAGGCAAGCGUUGUUCGGAAUCACUGGGCUUAAAGCGCGUGUAGGCGGUUCGGUAAGUACUUUGUGAAAUCUCCCCUCUCAAUGGGGAAAUUGCUCGGUAUACUGCCAAACUUGAGGUAGGUAGGGGUGCCUGGAACUCUAGGUGGAGCGGUGAAAUGCGUAGAUAUCUAGAGGAACGCCCGUGGCGAAAGCGGGGCACUGGGCCUGUCCUGACGCUGAGACGCGAAAGCGUGGGUAGCAAACGGGAUUAGAUACCCCGGUAGUCCACGCCGUAAACGAUGCGCACUAGGUUUGCAUGACUCUGACGUCCUGCGAGCCGAAACAAAAGCGUUAAGUGCGCCGCCUGGGGAGUACGGCCGCAAGGCUA
rnacentral:rRNA from 1 species